rnacentral:rRNA from 1 species
UCCAUGUGGGGCAAGCGUUGUCCGGAUUUAUUGGGCGUAAAGAGCUCGUAGGCGGUUCCGUAAGUCGGAUGUGAAAACUCAGGGCUCAACCCGGAGACGCCAUCCGAUACUGCGGUGACUGGAGUCUGGUAGGGGAUCACGGAAUACCUGGUGUAGCGGUGAAAUGCGCAGAUAUCAGGUGGAACACCGAUGGCGAAGGCAGUGAUCUGGGCCAGUACUGACGCUGAGGAGCGAAAGCGUGGGGAGCAAACAGG